rnacentral:rRNA from 1 species
UAGAGUUUGAUCCUGGCUCAGGACGAACGCUGGCGGCGUGCUUAACACAUGCAAGUCGAGCGGUAAGGCCCUUCGGGGUACACGAGCGGCGAACGGGUGAGUAACACGUGGGUGACCUGCCCCCAACUCUGGGAUAAGCCCGGGAAACUGGGUCUAAUACCGGAUAUGACCUCUCAUCGCAUGGUGGGUGGUGGAAAGUUUUUCGGUUGGGGAUGGGCCCGCGGCCUAUCAGCUUGUUGGUGGGGUGAUGGCCUACCAAGGCGACGACGGGUAGCCGGCCUGAGAGGGCGACCGGCCACACUGGGACUGAGACACGGCCCAGACUCCUACGGGAGGCAGCAGUGGGGAAUAUUGCGCAAUGGGCGGAAGCCUGACGCAGCGACGCCGCGUGGGGGAUGACGGCCUUCGGGUUGUAAACCUCUUUCGCCAGGGACGAAGCGUGAGUGACGGUACCUGGAUAAGAAGCACCGGCCAACUACGUGCCAGCAGCCGCGGUAAUACGUAGGGUGCGAGCGUUGUCCGGAAUUAUUGGGCGUAAAGAGCUCGUAGGCGGUCUGUCGCGUCGGUCGUGAAAACUUGGGGCUUAACCCUGAGCUUGCGGUCGAUACGGGCAUGACUGGAGUUCGGCAGGGGAGACUGGAAUUCCUGGUGUAGCGGUGAAAUGCGCAGAUAUCAGGAGGAACACCGGUGGCGAAGGCGGGUCUCUGGGCCGAUACUGACGCUGAGGAGCGAAAGCGUGGGGAGCGAACAGGAUUAGAUACCCUGGUAGUCCACGCCGU